UCCAUUCAUUCCACACAGACUAGAUUUCAAACUCUGAAUAUUAAACACUGUGUUACCAAAGACCAGGGUAUCGCCCACUCAGUAUAAUGGCAUUUAUUAAAAAUGGAAUACAAGUGGUAUGAAGGUCAAAAUGCAGGACAGAAGAAAACACACUUUGAUGGCUCUCUCCUUCUUUUACAGGGCAACAGAUGCAAGAUCUUUUACAGCAGUAUAGAAUAAAACACAUUUCAACAUAUUUUACAAUAAUUCUUAACUUAGCUCUCUCUCCUUGUUUUACAGAAUACUACAGAGCACUAAAUUCAAGAAACCACAUUAUAGGGUUGCCUUUGGGUCAUCGUAAGUUGGAAAUAACUUGAAGGCACACAGCAGCAACAAAGACAACAACACACUUUGGUGUGUUUUACAAUAAUUCUUAGCCUACCUUUCUGUCUGUCUUCUACAGAACACUUCAGCUCUUACAAUGAGGAUAUGAAAACAAAUCAUUUCUGAUGUAAAACUUUGGAAAUCAAUGUGGGCACCAGACAUUUCCUCCUGGAGAAAACCUUCCACAAGUGAGUGCUAUUGCCAAGAAUGCCUGCUCUCCAGUCAUCACCACUACAUCACUGCUGGUGGUAGCAUCCACAGAAGAGCUUUAAGCAGUCACCUCAGUGAUCAGACCUGCAGACUUGUAUGGAGAGAGAUGACCGUUCAGACCCUAACUCUGUUCAUAAUCCAUAAAGGGCUUGAAAAGGUCAAUUCAGAACCAGGACAAUAGACUUGUGAACAGUCUGGUGACCAUUUUAGCUGCUGAAAGAAUAGCAGAAUGUGUAUGGUUAUAAUAUAUAUGGUGACAGCAAAGCAGGAACGCUUGAUAACUUUCAAAGAAUUAUAGUUAUAAUUUUAUUUAUUUGUUUGUUUGUUUGUUUAUAUCUCAUCCUUUUCCCAAAUUAGGACUCAGAGUGGAUUACAGUAUUAAAAAAUAGUACAAUUAAAAGCAUACAAAAAUGGCACAUUAAAACAGAAUUAAAUUAUUACAAUAUUAAAACAGUUAGUUUGGAAACUACUAGAAGUAUAAUAUUUGAUAGGUUUUGGUUGGCUUGUAAUUUAUUUUACAUUUGAGAGCUGUGGGCAGGGCGUUAACUCCCUGAGACAUGGCUGCAGCACACGUGCAGCUACUUUAGGUUUCAGUUACAAUAAAGCACACCAGCCAGCGCUGAAUGCUCCAAACUUUACUUCAAAUUAACAGCCCAAAAUAACAGCUUAAGUCUCAAUUAGGAAAAUAAAUGGGCCCUCAGUUGCGUCACUGAAGGUACACCCAUAUAACUUCUGAGAGUUCUAGUUCCUUCACUAAGCUCCGGGUUCUUCCUUGGUAUAGCCUCCCAGCAUACACUUUUCCAGUUGUUCUGUCUCAGCCUUUUCCUCCAACUUCGGUCCUGGGCGUUGUUCCCACUGGUCACCUCGUGGGUCCCACCACUCUCCUUCCAAAGUUUCUUUGGACCGUCUCCGCCACUCUCCCUCCUCUGGAUACCUGAAGUCUCCCUCUCUCCUGGGUCAGGCAAUGUUACUUCUACGUGGGGUCUCACCCUCAAUAAGCUAUGCCUCCCUUGCAAGGUAACCGGACAGCCUACCCUUCCUGGGCUUCAGAUUACUUGGCUUCUCCCUGUCAUGACCACCUCUGUGCAUCCCCGUCUUCCGCGUUUGCCGCCCCUCCUCAUGUCCACCUGUCCUUCACCUUUUAUAUCCUGCCCCUGGGGCAUAUUCUCCCUUCCCUUGGAUUCCCCUGGGUCCUCUCUCCCCUUGCUCCCUGGCUCUGCCCAAUCAACCCUCUCUUCUUCCUCCCCUGCCUGGCUACAAGAGCCAAAAUACAAUUGCGCACACCUUCAAGAAACCUGUCAACUCAUAGCAUCCUUAAGAAUUUCAUAGGGUUUUCUUAGGCAAGGAAUACUCAGAGGAGGUUUUGCCAUUUUCUUCCUCUUAGUGCUUGACAAAUGAUAUCUAUGAGAUUUGAUUGCUUUGACUUUGGCAAGCCAACAAGCCUAGAAAUUUGAAUUUCAAGUUAUUGAACGGUAUUAUUUUAUUUAUACCCUACCUUUCCCUCAAACCAGCGGUGUCACUAGGGGUGGUGUGGACUGCAUGGGGUGACACCCAGUCAGGCCCUCCCCAUGUUCCCUCCCAUGCCUCCCUGUUGGCCCAGCCAGUUUAAUAAAUGUUUUUAUUAAAAUCAUUUUAUUGCUGGUAA